GCCUUUUUGCCUUCGCGGUGGUGGCGCCGCGCUGGGAAUCCGCUGCGGAAUGGUGUGGUCGCUCGAUUCUCCCAGUGCCUGGCUGAGUUUCGGACGUGGUUAAGAACCAACUGGUUGAGGUUCAAUGCAGACAAGACGGAUGUGAUGCUGUAGAAAAUGUGCAUCAGAUGUUUAUGUUUAAUUGGUUUACAGACUGUCUGUGGACUCUUUUCCUGUCAAAUUACCAGCCAUCUGUUGAAUCUUCAAGUCCAGGAGGUUCAGCAACAUCAGAUGACCAUGAAUUUGAUCCAUCAGCUGACAUGCUGGUUCAUGAUUUUGAUGAUGAACGAACAUUAGAAGAGGAAGAAAUGAUGGAAGGAGAAACAAACUUCAGCUCUGAAAUAGAAGAUCUUGCAAGGGUAAAUAACAUGUAGAGCUAGGGUAUGAAUUGGUUAUGACUUUUUUGUGGAAAGGGAAGAUCUGAAAUUUUGAUUCUCUGAUUAGGAGAGAAAUUGUGUUAUAUAUUAAUGACUGAAAAAUUUUGUGUGAUCAUAGGUGGGAUAUUUAAAGUUUGAAAUGAAAGGAUUUAAAAACAAUAACUUUAUUAUGUGCAAUAACAGAAUUCACAUAGUUACUUUGGUAAAACAUAGACUGUUAAAUGAUUCUGCUAUAAAGGUCUGGUCAAAAAUGGACUAUAAAAGGAUUCUACACGGCCUCAUAUAUCCUUUGUCCUUCCCCAGUUACCAUAUCUUUUACUUAUUCUCCUUCAGAGCCAAAAAUUCUUGAAGUAUCAUUUUCCAUUCACUACAUAAAGUGCUCUAGAUUAUCUCCACUACAUAAAGUGCUCUAGAUUAUCUCCACCUCUUCCUAUCAAGGUGACCAGUGAACUUUCCUUGUUACAUCCAUUUUUAUAUUCACUUUUCUCUCACUACCUUACUUUUUCUCAGCAGUAUUCAAUAUAGUUUAACAUUCCCUUCUUUUACUUGAAUUCUGGAGUACACCACUGUCUGGUUUUCUUUAUCUUUUUGUUUCUAUUCAGUAUCUUUUGCAGACUCUUCUUCCGUUACUCAAGGUUUACAUGUUGGCAGUUUGUGAUUCUCAGUUUGGACCUUCUUUUUUUCUCUCCUGUCUCUGUCUGGAUCAGUGCUCCUCAAAAUGUAGUAUGAGGGUCAGUUGCAUCAGAAUCAACCCUGUACUUAUUUUAAAAAGCAGAUUUUUUGGACCUCUCCCCCGGCAUACUGAAUCAGAAUCUCUGGAGGUGGUGUUCAGAUCCACAUCUUCAUUAAAGACUGUGUGUCUGAAAACAGGGCACUUGAAGAACUUGAAGUCAGAACUAUUGUUUAAAAGUAGGAGGCUGGGAAGCGAUUCAAAAACAGUUAUAAGGGAAACAGUUGAUUUAACAAUCAUAGUCACUUCAUGUAUUUGUGAAGUGAGAAGACAAUUAUUUUCAGUUUGCCUAUAUUCAGAGAAGAUCUAUCACUUUAUAUUUUUUGCUUCUGAAUAGCCAUCUGUGGGAUAAAAGGUACAGUAAUAAAAUCUUGUAUUUUCUGUCUUAUAUUCUAUAUUAGCUAAAAUACUAAUUAGCAAGAGGAAAUAAGUAGUUUUCAUAAUGGGUUAUGAGUUAGUUAUUUUUUUUCUAUUUCAGAAAAUGAGAUAUUUAUUACAUUUAAUUAGUAGAAAAUUACUAAUGGGCUGUGCUAAAAUUUUGGUUAUAUCAUUGCCUUUUCCUGUUUUUCUCUCCUAUUCCUUUCCCCAGCCCCAUAUAGUGCCUUAAAACUUGCUUUCAAGUGACCCUGCCUUAGGAAAUAGAAGUUAAAAUAGAAUUAUUUAUAGAGAUAGGGAAAAAAAGACAGUUGAACCAAUCCUUUAUCAUCCUUUCAACUAGACAGCCUUAUACCUUCUCAGAUUCUUCUCUGACUUCUCCCAGAAACAAUUAAAGCUUUAAGUAGCAUAGAAUGCUUUUCAUCUGUAACCUGAAGCUAAGCAAUAUUUUGGGGCCAAUUUGUUGGAUUUCCUAGAGUUAUUAACUCUUUAGGUUUGAACCAAACAAAAUUCUUGUUGUGUUUAUUGAAAAAGUGAAUAAGAUUUUGUUGUGUUGAUUAUUGAUUUGCUUUUAUAGAAGCAAAACAUUAGUUAUGUCAGGGAUUGAUAGUGUUUUUCACCUUACACCUUGGUUGCAUGAAAUGAAUUUUUGAUGUAUUGUGGCAGAACUCUGACAUUCAUUCAGGAAAUAUCAAUAACUGUAUAGCAUGUGGUUUUAAGUUCAUUCAAUUUGAAUUCUAGAAUUUUUCAGUGAAAACUAACUCGAAAGAAGUUUUGAUGUGUAUUGUUACAUUUGUAUGCAUGGAUUAUGACAAUAUAAAAGAUAAGUGUUUUAAUAAAAUUGGGUGUAUAGGUUAUUAUUUAUUGUAGUGAUUAGUGAUCUUAGAGGGAAUGUCAGAAUCAUUCUCAUAGUAAAUAAAUAGACUUUUGUUUUGUUUUGUUUUUUUGAGACAGAGUCUCACUCUGUUGCCCAGGCUGGAGUGCAGUGGCACGAUCUCGGCUCACUGCAACCUCCACCUCCUGGGUUCAAGCAAUUCGCCUGCCUCAGCCUCUUGAGUAGCUAGGAUUAUAGGCAUGUGCCACCAAGCCCAGCUAAUUUUUGUAUUUUUAAUAGAGAUGAGGUUUCACCAUGUUGCCCAGGCUGGUCUCGAACUCCUGGCCUCAAGUGAUCUGCCCAUCUCAGCCUCCCAAAGUGCUGGGGUUACAGGCGUGAGCUAUUGCACCUGGCCAUAGAUACAUUUUUGUUUGCUACAAAUAGAAACACUCUAGUUUAACUCUGUUUUCCAAAUGAACUCUUUAAACUCAGAGACUCUAAAUGGGCACAAUUGUGGCAGUCCAUUUGGGAAAAGAAAGAUCAAGAUUGCAAUAUAUUUAUGUAUUUAGAUAUAUUUUAUAAAAAUCACACUAUAACAGUAUCAGUAUUUAAUACAUACUUUUAAAGUGCUAGAUGUGUUCCAUCCAGAGCUAGAGAAUAAUUAAAAUGUGUGAUUAAAAUGUGAGAGAUUGCAGUAUUUUGACGUAUACACACAAAUUAAUUAUAUAGAUAGAAAAGAAAUCUCAGUGUGAGGAUUAUAAAGAAGAGUUCAGUGCCUUCAUUCCUAUAUAGUUUUAUCUUCUAGUCAAGCCCCAGCCCCAAGAGAUUGGUUACCUUAGGAACCAUCUCUCUAGUUCAGUCUGGAUGUGGUCCCUUAGGCCUUUUUGGCUGGAAAUCUGCCUCUUUCCUUCUUCCUAUCUUCAUUAGCAUUUUAUUGGUAAGUCAGUUUUGGUACAACAGGUGUAAGAGUACUAUCUACAUCCACCAAAUGGCCUUGACUUGAAAGUCAGCAUCUGCCAUUUCUUAAUGACUAACCUCCUGAUGUGAGGGAGAAGGAGCUAGGAACUAGCACCUCUUCUGCAGCUAGGAGUUGGAUGCCACUCCAACCUAUAAUAUGUUAGUGUUUGAUAACUUUACCCUAUUGUCUUGAAAUUAGGGCAGACUUAACUUGAGAUAUAGUAUAUAGUGUUUAUCCUUUUUGAUACAGGGUCUUACUCUGUCACCUUCCCAGGCUCAUGUGAUCCACCUGCCUCACCUCCCACGUAGCUGGGACUGUAGGCGUGCACCACUAUGCCCGGCUAAUUUUUUAUUUUUUUGUAGAGAUGGGGUCUUGCUCUGUUGCCCAGGCUGGUCUUGAACUCCUGUGUGCAAGCAGUCCUCCCACUUCGGCCUCCCAAAGUGCUGGGAUGAUAGGCGUGAGCCACUGAGUCUGGUCGGUUUAUGUUUUUAAAAAGUCCAUUUCUCCCACCUUCAGCCAGCCUUCCUUUAGCUUAUGCAGACAUGAUUGCCCUUCCUUUUGUUACAGUGUAAGACAACUCAUUUCUUAAAAUACAGUCUGCAAAUAUAGUGUGUAUUCCUGUUUUUUUUUUUUAAGUUAAUUUUUUAGAGACAGGGUCUCGUUCUGUCGCUCUGGCUGGAGUGCAGUGGUGCAGUCAUAGCUCAAGCAUCCUUAACUUCCUGCGUUCAUGCCUUUCUCUCGCCUCAGCCUCUUGAGUAGCUAGGACUGCAAGUGCAUGCCACCGUGCCUGGCUACAUUCCUGUAUUUUUAUUCAUCAUGUACUAUGCCCACUUUCCUUAUUUCUCACAGUUUAUCAGCCCUCUUAUUUCACAUUGUAACAGGAUGCUGUAUACUUAACCUGACGUUAGAUUUUGAAGAAGGCAGUAUAUAUGCAUAUGUACAGAAGGGCAGUGUAAAGCAGUGAGUUAGACUGCCUGGGUUCGUAAUCCAGUUCUACUACUUAUUUCAGUGUGGGACUUAGGAUAGGUUACUUAACAUUGUUAAACUUCAGAUGUUAUUACAAGAAUAAUAUAUCUAAAGCGCUUAACAUAAUAUUUGGCACAUAAUAAACACAAAAUAAAUCUUAGUUAAUGUCAUUCAUAAGAUUCUCAAAAAAGUCUCUGACCUAUAACUGAAAAUGUACAACUUGCCACAUAAUUUUUUCUUUCACUCUGUUCUCGCCUUUUUAUACUCUUUUAACACUUACGUGAAUGGGAAUAAAACACUGUGCCACUUUAUUGUGAUGUUUCAAUUUAAGUUGAAGUAAGCCCUUGAGUAACUGGUAGAAUGCAGACUUUGGUAAUAUAAACUAAUUAGAAAUUCUCUGGAACAGGUGACUGACAGGCCCUGGUACAAUAGUAUACUACUUUUGGCCAAGUUUUAUUCAUCCUUAAAUCUUUUUUCAGAGGGAAAUAACGGAAUAUUUGCGUUACACGAUAUCAUUACUGUUUAUAGCAUCAGAAUUUGGGGGUGCAGAGACAGAAAUCUGUCUGUAACUAGAUUACAGACAGUCUAACCUCAAACUAGGUUAGACAAAAUGAAGAAUUUCAUGUAAGUCUCAUGGAAUUUCAUUAAAGGAGGGAUAUAUCUGCUCCCAGGGACUCAAGUGCCACCAGAAUUUAUUUUCUCUAUUUCUGCUUUUCUACAUGGUUUACCUCUUUUUGUUUUUGAGACAGGGUCUCACUUUGUCACUCAGGCUGGAGUGCAGCAGUGCGAUCUUGGCUCACUGCAGCCUCAGCCUCCCUGGAUGAAGCCAUCCUCCUGCCUCAGCCCCCCUAGUAGCUGGGACUACGGGCAUGCGCUGCCACACCCAGCUAAUUCUUUUUGUAUUUUUUACAUGGACGGUGUUUCGCCAUGUUGCCCAGGCUGGUCUCGAACUCCUGAGCUCAAGUGAUCUGCCUACCUUGGCCUCCCAAAGUGCUAAGAUUACAGGCGUGAGCCGUGUCCCACCUGACUUGUCUUUUCAGACCAACUUUCUUCAUAUUAUGCUGUCAGUUUGUAGGUCUCCCACAUUUACUACUUGAGAUAGUCUAUGCUUCUUUCUUAAGUUGCUGUUGAUAAAACUCCAGAAACAAAGUAUGGACAAGCUUGGGUCAUGUGUCCACUCCAAAUCUACGGCCAGGGAAUACAGUUAUUCCAAUUAUGUCAGCUACUAUGGUCAAGGAGGUGAACUUUCAAGAAAAAUAAGUGCUUGGAAUGGAAGAAAGAACAUUUCAUGUGAGAAGACAAGUACAGAAGUAGAGAGUAGGAGAGGCUUGGAGGGGAAAUAAUAAAUAAUCCUUACAUGAUGCUUGUUUAUGCUUGCUAAAUCUUUACUUCAGUUAGCACAAAGCAGGAACACAAAUACAUGCUAUUGCAAUUUGAAACAGGAUUCCUCAGCAAAAUUGAUUCUGAUUUUUAUUAUAGUUGUAGCCCGGAGUUUGCUGCAAGAUUUUCACUUUUACCUUAGAUUAAAUAAGAGACUUUUUAUACUGUCGUGCUUCAACUUGUAUUUUUGGUGGUGAUGAUUUUUUCUUUGUUGCUUACUAAGCUGAUAUUACUCACUUGAUAUUGGGUGACAGCUUGAGUUACAAGUUUAAUACUAGUAAGUAAGCAUUUUCUUUUCCUUUUUUUUUUUUUUUUAAUAUUCUUGAGACAGGGUCUCACUCUGUUGCCCAGGCUGGAGUGCAGUGACACAAUCUCAGCUCACUGCAGCCCCUGCCUCCUGGGUUCAAGCAGUUCUCCUGCCUCAGCCUCCUGAGUAGCUGGGAUUACAUGCCCACACCACCAUGCCUGGCUAACUUUUGUAUUUUUAGUAGAGUUGGGGUUCCACCAUGUUGGCCAGGCCGGUCUUGAACUCCUGAUCUCAAGUGAUCUGUCCCCCUCAGUCUCCCAAAGUACUGGGAUUACAGGUGUGAGCCACUGCACCCAGCAUAAGUAAGCAUUUUCUUGAUUGAAUAAGUAAGGGUAUUUUUUUUCCAUGUGAUAAAGCCCAUCUAAAAAUAACGUUGUGUAAAAAUAAACUAUUAGAAGGUAUAUGAAAGUGUAGUUGGGUACAAGGAAUAUAUGGAACCAGGGAUUCAGCAUCACCAGGACCUCCAUCUCUCCUAAUCCCUGGUUGAAUCCUGUUGCAUCUCUUCAAUUUUUUCUUUUCCACAACCACUAAUUUAAUUUAGGUUCUGAUCAUAAUACAGGUGAAUGUGUAGUGAAUGAUAGCAGUGGAUUCCCACAUGGCAAGCAAACUAAAUCUUCCCCUGCCUAAGUUCACGUUGAGUGUUUUGUUGUGUGUGUAAUUUCCCCUAAAUACUUCCAGAGUGUCAGUAACUAUUCAGUACGCUCAAAUUGAGUCAGGAGUAUAACAGAAGCCUUUAAAAAUUACGUAAAACUAGAGAAAGUAGGUAAAAAUAGUAAUCCUGACUUUCAUUAAUCUAUAACUGAUCUUUCAGUAAUGUAUGGCCUUCUGAAAUGAUACUUUGUUUUUAGUUACUGUAAAUGGUAUGUCUGCUCUAAUCAGGGUGACUGGCUUAUUCAUUUUUGUUUCUGUACCAUACAUUUGUCAUUUGCUCUGACUUGAAUGACUUUUCUCCAUCUGUGCCAGUUCUAUUACGAUUGUAAUUCAAGCAUUUCCCCUCUAAAUGCACUGUGAUCAGGCUACUUUUGACUCUCUCUGUUCUCUGCUUAGUCAAUAUUGGAGGUGUUGGAGAAUUUUUCUUUGAGAAAUGAAUUUUUUUCUUUUUCCUUUUUUUUUUUUCUUGAGACAGAGUCUCAACUCUGUCACCCAGGCUGGAGUGCAGUGGCAUGAUCUCAGCUCACUGCAACCUCUGCUUCCUGCGUUCAAGCAAUUCUCCUGCCUCAGCCUCCUCAGUAGCUGGGACUACAGGUGUGCACCACCAUGCCUGGCUAAUUGUUUUGUAAUUUUAGUGGAGAUGGGGUUUUGCCUUGUUGGCCAGGCUGGUCUCGAACUCCUGACCUCAAGUGUUCUGCCAGCCUCAGCCUCCCAAAGUGCUGGGAUUACAGGCGUGAGCCACUGCGCUUGGCCUGAGAAAUGAAUUUUUACAAAGUGAGUCACACUUCUUAUCUGUAUAUCCAGGAGGGAAAAACCUUAAUCUAUGAUUGUCAGACAUUCUACAUUCUUGAUAAUGGUUAAAAAAGAAAAAUUCUUUUUCCAUGUAGUUAGUAUGUCACCUAUCCUUUUGACAAAUAUUUGAGCUGGAUAUCAUAUGUCAUACGAUAAGCUUUAUUAAAGUUAAUGUUCAAGCUUUAUUACCUCCCAUUGGAAAGGGUGAUUUGCAGGUAUCUUAUCCCAGACCUGUGAGAUCAGUGGUUUUCAAGGUAGUCUCAUACCAGCAGCAUUAGCAUCACCUGAGUUUUUUUUUUUUUUUUUUUUUUUUUUUUAAUUGCAGGUACUCGGGCCUCACUGGAGACUUACUAGGUCAGAAAGUUGGGUGAGGCUCAGCAGCCCAUUUUAGUAAGCCCUCAAGGUAAUUCUGAUACCCUUAAUAAGACAGACCAAUCGUAGAGAGCCUGAGGGCAUUUGUUUGGUUGCUAAUACACCUUUUUUUGGAGUGAACGAAGUACCAUGAUCUUGUCAGAAGAUGAGUUCAAAAUAGAGCAUGGCUAUGUAAUUAGCUGUGUGGUUUCAAAGGAUUAGUUAUAACACAGUUAUAAAAAUUAAAGGUAGUGGUUAACAGGAUAGUUUUGAGGAUCAAAUAAAUAAUGAAACAAGCUUUUCAUGAACUCUUAAGGCCUAUGUAAAUUUCAGUUGCAAACUGUUAACGCUUAUGUUUUUUUCCUUUUGGGGCCCUUAUUCAUACUAGUGACUUCAGUGGCUUUUAUUCACAAUAGUGAUCAGUUGCUAAACUUGCUUCUGAUUUUGGGGUGCAGGAUAUGAGCUUAAGAAACGUUACAUGACCUGAGAUUAGGAGGUCUGGGUAUUAUAAUAAAGUAUCAGUGCCUGACGUUUCUCUGCCUGGUUUCCUUAUUUGCAAAUAAAGGUAGCAAGCACUCCAUUUGGUACUUCUAAAGAUCUAAUGAAAUUGUGUGUGUUGACACUGCUUUCAUGGUUGCAAGAGAAAAAGACAGUGAAAUCAAAGCAUCUAUCAUAAAUGCCUGACACAUAGAAGAUACUUUAUGACAGCUAUUUGUUAUUCUUGUAUAUAAAACUAGCUUUAGGCUGGGCACGGUGGCUCAUGUUUCCAAUCCUACAUUUUGGGAAGCCAAGGUGGGCAGAUCGCUUGCAUCCAGGUGUUUGAGACCAGCCUGGGCAACAUGGUGAAACCCUUCUCUAUGAAAAAUACAAAAAUUAGCCAGGCAUGGUGGUGCACAUGUAUAGUCCCAGAUACUUGGGAGGCUGAGGUGGGAGGAUCAUUUGAAGGUUGAGGCUGCAGUGAGCAGUGAUCAUGCCACUGCACUCCAGCCUGGGUGACAGAGCAAGAUCCUGUCUCAAAAAAUAAAUCUAGCCUUUUCAUUAUAUUUCUCUUACUACACUUCUAUCUCUUAUUUUGAAGUUUUGUUUUAGUUCCUGAGUAUUGACUCUCCAGAUUCCCAAAUACCAAUGUCCUGUACCAGAUUCUUGGUACAUGGACCAGAUACUUGAACACUUAAAGCACUGUUGGUGUUGUACUUUGAGAGACACAGUGUAAGAGCUGUCAUUUGUUUGCCAGCUGGUUAUUUAGCUAGAGUGGCAAUACCUUGCCUUGAUAAAGUUACCGCUUUUCAGGUUGUAGCUUCUGCAAAUCAUUAGGGGUCUUGGAAUUGAUUUAUCUUUCAGAAAUAGAUUCACAAACUCAUUCAUAACCAGAAUAUCCAUUUGUAAUGGGAAAUAGAAGUUUUGGAUGACAGUUUCUUCCUAGUUCUUCCUAAGAAAAUCUUUUCAAAUGAUAAUCAUUAAUUUCUUCCCACACAUGGAUUUUGAGUGAUGCAGGUUAAUUGUAUCAUCUAAUCCAGUCUGAUUUACCCAUAUCCAUUGUAGCAAUGUGUUUAACACAUGAGCUAGACUUACUUCUUUCCAUGACUGCUGGAGAAACAUAAACCAUGUCUUAUUUCAUGAUUACCCUUUUUUUUCUAGCUUCUAAACUGAUUGUUUUCUGACUGUUUUGCUUCAGACCAUGUGCAUUGUAUGUGGGUGUGCAUGAGUGUAUAAUAUGUUCACAUGAUUUGGAUUAAAUUUUCUUUUUAUAAUCAGAAUUCUGUUAUGUUUCCCUGAUGCUGUGCAUUUCUUGUUUACUGGUUAGAGUGAGUAGUUUGUAUAGAAAGCUGAUUUCAUUUCAUUGUGUAUGGACAUUUCUUUUUCAUCCACGGAGGGUCUGAUUUUUGUGGGGAUUGAGGGAAGUCCCUGCCCAAGGCACCAUGGUGUAUUGAUAUGAAUAUGGGCUUUUGGAGUUAGACUGUUUAAAUCUGGCUCUACUACUUGUAACUUGUGUGAUUUGUGAAGAAAUGCUUAACCUGUCAGCCUCUGUUUUCGCAUCUAUGAAAUGGAAAUAAUAUAACAAGUCCGUAUGAUAGAUGGUAAGGAUUUCAUGAGAUGAUUUUAUAUGUAAAUGGAGAUAACCAUAGAGAAGAAUAUAUGGUUAAUGUAGUCCAUUAUCAUUUCUGUAUAUUACUACUGGUUUGUUUGUGUUUUUUUUUUUUUUUUUUUUCAUGUGUUCGGGCUGAGCUCUGAAUUUUCGUCUGCCUUUCUGGGUUUGUUAACUUAUAGUCUAUUUCUCAUUGUUCUAUUUCUCCACCCUCAAGUUAAGUAUGGUACUCUUAUUAAGAGUGGGCAUCCAUGCAUAGCGUUAACUGUCAUUGUGCAUAUACUGAAUUGAUUGCAAAAAGAAUAGUCCAUGUUAGACCAAGGCCACUUUUUAAUUAUACUUAAAGAUCUUGUUGUCAGCAAUUAUAACUGGUUCAUUUUAUAGAAAUACUUAAAAGAUUGGGAUAUUCCUAGGUUUCAGAAAUAUUUUCAGUUUUACUUUUUAUGAUCCGAGAAUUCGUAACACAGCUUUUAUUCUUCACUAUAGAAUGAAUACUCCACAGAUUUGUGGAUUAUAGCCUGGGAAUCAGAAAUAUCACUGAUUCAGAGAUUACCUUUUAUUUUGAUUUAUUUAGGAAGGCGACAUGCCAAUUCAUGAACUUCUCAGCCUUUAUGGUUAUGGUAGUACUGUUCGACUACCUGAAGAAGAUGAGGAAGAGGAAGAAGAGGAAGAAGAAGG